UCAUCUGCAAACAGGGACAAUUUGACUUCCUCUUUUCCUAAUUGAAUACCCUUUAUUUCCUUCUCCUGCCUGAUUGCCCUGGCCAGAACUUCCAACACUAUGUUGUAUAGGAGUGGUGAGAGAGGACAUCCCUGUCUUGUGCCAGUUUUCAAAGGGAAUGCUUCCAUUUUUGCCCAUUCAGUAUGAUAUUGGCUGUGGGUUUGUCAUAGAUAGCUCUUAUUAUUUUGAGAUACGUCCCAUCAAUACCUAAUUUAUUGAGAGUUUUUAGCAUGAAGGGUUGUUGAAUUUUGUCAAAGGCCUUUUCUGCAUCUAUUGAGAUAAUAGAUGGUUUUUGUGGUUGGUUCUGUUUAUAUGCUGGAUUACAUUUAUUGAUUUUUGUGUGUUGAACCAGCCUUGCAUCCCAGGGAUGAAGCCCACUUGAUCACGGUGGAUAAGCUUUUUGGUGUGCUGCUGGAUUUGGUUUGCCAGUAUUUUAUUGAGGAUUUCUGCGUCAAUGUUCAUCAGGGAUAUUAGUCGAAAAUUCUCUUUUUGUUGUUGUGUCUCUGCCAGGCUUUGGUAUCAGGAUGAUGCUGGCCUCAUAAAAUAAGUUAGGGAGGAUUCCCUCUUUUUCUGUUGAUUGGAAUAGUUUCAGAAGGAAUGGUACCUGCUUCUAUUUGAUUCUUCUCUCUUUUCUUCUUUAUUAGUCUUGUUAGCAGUCUAUCAAUUUUGUUGAUCUUUUCAAGAAACCAGCUCCUGGAUUCAUUGAUUUUUUGAAGGGUUAUUUGUGUCUCUGUUUCCUUCAGUUCUGCUCUGAUCUUAGUUAUUUCUUGCCUUCUGCUAGCUUUUGAAUGUGUUUGCUCUUGCUUUUCUAGUUCUUUUAAUUGUGAUGUUAGGGUGUCAAUGUUAGAUCUUUCCUGCUUUCUCUUGUGGGCAUUUAGUGCUAUAAAUUUCCCUGUACACACUACUUUGAAUGUGUCUCAGAGAUUCUGGUAAGUUGUGUCUUUGUUCUCAUUGGUUUCAAAGAACAUCUUUAUUUCUGCCUUCAUUUCGUGAUGUACCCAGUAUUCAUUCAGGAGCAGGUUGUUCAGUUUCCAUGUAGUUGAGCGGUUUUGAGUGAGUUUCUUAAUCCUGAGUUCUAGUUUAAUUGCACUGUGGUCUGAGAGACAGUUUGUUGUAAUUUCCGUUCUUUUACAUUUGCUGAGGAGUGCUUUACUUCCAACUAUAUGGUCAAUUUUGGAAUAAGUGUGGUGUGGUGCUGAGAAUAAUGUAUAUUCUGUUGAUUUGGGGUGGAGAGUUCUGUAGAUGUCUAUUAGGUCUGUUUGAUGCAGAGCUGAUUUCAAUUCCUGGAUAUCCUUGUUAACUUUCUGUCUCGUUGAUCUGUCUAAUGUUGACAGUGGGGUAUUAAAAUCUCCCAUUAUUAUUGUGUGGGAGUCUAAGUUUCUUUGUAGGUCUCUAAGGACUUGCUUUAUGAAUCUGGGUGCUCCUGUAUUGGGUGCAUAUAUAUUUAGGAUAGUUAGCUCUUCUUGUUGAACUGAUCCCUUUACUAUUGUGUAAUGGCCUUCUUUGUCUCUUUUGAUCUUUGUUGGUUUAAAGUCUGUUUUAUCAGAGACUAGGAUUGCAACCCCUGCCUUUUUUUUGUUUUCCGUUUGCUUGGUAGAUCUUCUUCCAUCCUUUUAUUUUGAGCCUGUGUGUGUCUCUACACGUGAGAUGGGUUUCCUGAAUACAGCACACUGAUGGGUCUUGACUCUUUAUCCAAUUUGCCAGUCUGUGUCUUUUAAUUGGAGCAUUUAGCCUAUUUACAUUUAAGGUUAAUAUUGUUAUGUGUGAAUUUGAUCCUGUCAUUAUGAUUUUAGCUGGUUAUUUUGUUCGUUAGUUGAUGCAGUUUCUUCCUAGCCUUGAUGGUCUUUACAAUUUGGCAUUUUUUUGUGGUGGCUGGUACUGGUUUUUCCUUUCCAUGUUUAGUGCUUC
rnacentral:lncRNA from 1 species